UACAGAGGGGGCAAGCGUUAUUCGGAAUUAUUGGGCGUAAAGGGCGCGUAGGCGGCUUGGCAAGUGGAAGGUGAAAUCCCUCGGCUUAACCGAGGAACUGCCCUCCAAACUGCUUGGCUUGAGACCGGGAGAGGUGAGUGGAAUUCCCAGUGUAGCGGUGAAAUGCGCAGAUAUCAGGAGGAACACCGGUGGCGAAGGCGGGUCUCUGGGCCGAUACUGACGCUGAGGAGCGAAAGCGUGGGGAGCAAACAGG
rnacentral:rRNA from 1 species